AGGAUUGUCUGGCAGGGAAGGUACCAUGAUCAUGAAGAUGAUUGCAUUUCAGAUGUGUUGACCCUUGCAGAUUCCCAAAUUUUGGAAACCUGGCUGUGUAAUUUGUGAAUGAAGGAAGAAAUGUGUAUUCACACCCCGA
rnacentral:snRNA from 1 species